GAGUUUGAUCAUGGCUCAGAUUGAACGCUGGCGGCAGGCCUAACACAUGCAAGUCGAACGGUAACAGGAAACAGCUUGCUGUUUCGCUGACGAGUGGCGGACGGGUGAGUAAUGUCUGGGAAACUGCCUGAUGGAGGGGGAUAACUACUGGAAACGGUAGCUAAUACCGCAUAACGUCGCAAGACCAAAGAGGGGGACCCUCGGGCCUCUUGCCAUCGGAUGUGCCCAGAUGGGAUUAGCUUGUUGGUGGGGUAACGGCUCACCAAGGCGACGAUCCCUAGCUGGUCUGAGAGGAUGACCAGCCACACUGGAACUGAGACACGGUCCAGACUCCUACGGGAGGCAGCAGUGGGGAAUAUUGCACAAUGGGCGCAAGCCUGAUGCAGCCAUGCCGCGUGUAUGAAGAAGGCCUUCGGGUUGUAAAGUACUUUCAGCGGGGAGGAAGGGAGUAAAGUUAAUACCUUUGCUCAUUGACGUUACCCGCAGAAGAAGCACCGGCUAACUCCGUGCCAGCAGCCGCGGUAAUACGGAGGGUGCAAGCGUUAAUCGGAAUUACUGGGCGUAAAGCGCACGCAGGCGGUUUGUUAAGUCAGAUGUGAAAUCCCCGGGCUCAACCUGGGAACUGCAUCUGAUACUGGCAAGCUUGAGUCUCGUAGAGGGGGGUAGAAUUCCAGGUGUAGCGGUGAAAUGCGUAGAGAUCUGGAGGAAUACCGGUGGCGAAGGCGGCCCCCUGGACGAAGACUGACGCUCAGGCGCGAAAGCGUGGGGAGCAAACAGGAUUAGAUACCCUGGUAGUCCACGCCGUAAACGAUGUCGACUUGGAGGUUGUGCCCUUGAGGCGUGGCUUCCGGAGCUAACGCGUUAAGUCGACCGCCUGGGGAGUACGGCCGCAAGGUUAAAACUCAAAUGAAUUGACGGGGGCCCGCACAAGCGGUGGAGCAUGUGGUUUAAUUCGAUGCAACGCGAAGAACCUUACCUGGUCUUGACAUCCACGGAAGUUUUCAGAGAUGAGAAUGUGCCUUCGGGAACCGUGAGACAGGUGCUGCAUGGCUGUCGUCAGCUCGUGUUGUGAAAUGUUGGGUUAAGUCCCGCAACGAGCGCAACCCUUAUCCUUUGUUGCCAGCGGUCCGGCCGGGAACUCAAAGGAGACUGCCAGUGAUAAACUGGAGGAAGGUGGGGAUGACGUCAAGUCAUCAUGGCCCUUACGACCAGGGCUACACACGUGCUACAAUGGCGCAUACAAAGAGAAGCGACCUCGCGAGAGCAAGCGGACCUCAUAAAGUGCGUCGUAGUCCGGAUUGGAGUCUGCAACUCGACCCCAUGAAGUCGGAAUCGCUAGUAAUCGUGGAUCAGAAUGCCACGGUGAAUACGUUCCCGGGCCUUGUACACACCGCCCGUCACAUCA
rnacentral:rRNA from 1 species